AAAUAAUAUAUAACGUAUAUAUUAUUUUAUUCAAUCGAUAAAAAUAUAAAAUCUUUUAAAUUUUAUGAUUUGUAAAAAGUUACUUGGCAAUUGGUGGUGCCUUUUAAAAUAGAACGCCCGCGAUAUAUUAUAUAUAUAUAUGACUUUUGCGUCGGUUUGACACACUGAUCUCCACAUAAUUUGACCAUAUAUGUUGCUGUCACAUUAUAUUGUUGCUGUUUACAUAUGCUGUCAACGCAAAAUCACGAAAUUCCAAUAUGACAACGAAGAUGAAACCAACAAUUAUUAUUGCUCGGCGAAUUUACGCCUACGGACUCUACAGCACGAGAGGCAUAUAUAGGCACACGCGCGACGUGUGUGGAAACGAAACACUAUUUAACCAUAGAAAUGGAAUACGAGCCGAGACAUUGACCUAUUUGUUUUUGGAAACCUAAUAUGUCAUUUACAAUUAUUAUUGUACACAAUACACUGGUGUUUUUAACGAAAAUGUAU